GAUGAACGCUAGCGGCAGGCCUAAUACAUGCAAGUCGAACGGUGUCUUCGGACAUAGUGGCGCACGGGUGCGUAACACGUAUGCAACCUACCUUACAUUGGGGGAUGGCCUUUCGAAAGGGAGAUUAAUACCGCAUAAGACAGUAGCUGGGCAUCCAGCAGCUGUUAAAGAUUUAUCGAUGUAAGCUGGGCAUGCGUCCAAUUAGCUAGUUGGUGAGGUAACGGCUCACCAAGGCAAUGAUUGGUAGGGGAACUGAGAGGUCAAUCCCCCACACUGGCACUGAGAUACGGGCCAGACUCCUACGGGAGGCAGCAGUAGGGAAUAGUGGGCAAUGGACGCAAGUUUUACCCAGCCAUGCCGCGUGCAGGAUGAAGGCGUUAUGCGUUGUAAACUGCUUUUAUACAGGAAGAAACGACUCUUGCGAGAGGCAUUGACGGUACUGUAUGAAUAAGCACCGGCUAACUCCGUGCCAGCCGCCGCCUGUAACAC
rnacentral:rRNA from 1 species